rnacentral:lncRNA from 1 species
UGAAGAAAGUAAAGAGGUUGAAUGGGUUGAAACCAUUGCGGAAGAAUAUCUGUUAAAAGAAACAUUUACUGAAUCGGCUGACAAUGGUUUAAUAGAUUGGUAUUCUGAAGGUACUGCUGAUGACAUGGCCCCACCUAUUUUAGAUAAUUCGGAUGUCAUGAUGGUCAAUGGGUGGAGAUCGAGAAUAGAGGAAUUCGAGCAGUUGCCCUCACAAGGGACAAAAAUUGUACAAUCUCGGAAACAAGCACCCAUACUUGAGCUGAAACCCUUACCAAAGGAACUCAAGUAUGCCUUUCUUGGAUCCGAUAACACUUUUCCCAUAAUUAUCUCGACUGGGCUCGAUAAUGAUCAAGAAGAAAAAUUACAUACGGUCCUAAAGAGUCAUAAAGAAGUGCUUGGAUG